CGGUAAAAUCGACUGUAAGACAGCUAAUGGGUAAAGCACAGGUCAAGCGGACAGAAGUGAGCACCAACCACGUCCUUUUGUAUUUGGAGAAGGUGAACAAUGUGACCCAGAGCCUAUCCUUCACGGUGGAGCAGGAUGUCCCUGUCCAGCACCUCAAGCCUGCUCUGGUGAAAGUCUACGAUUACUAUGAAACAGGUGACAGUGCCAUUGCAAAGUACAGCACCCC